UACAACAUAGUGUUAAUUCACUCAAUUCCAUUAGAACUCCACAGUUAAGUGCGCUUAGGCUAGAGUAGUACUAGAAUGGGUGACCAGCCGUGAAGUCCUAGUGUUUUAC
rnacentral:rRNA from 1 species